rnacentral:rRNA from 1 species
GACGGAGGGUGCUAGCGUUGUUCGGAUUUACUGGGCGUAAAGGGCGCGUAGGCGGCCUUCUCAGUCGGGUGUGAAAGCCCGGGGCUCAACCCCGGAACGGCACCCGAGACGGGAAGGCUGGAGACCGGGAGAGGAGGGUGGAAUAGCCAGUGUAGAGGUGAAAUUCGUAGAUAUUGGCUGGAACACCGGUGGCGAAAGCGGCUCUCUGGCCCGGUUCUGACGCUGAGGUGCGAAAGCGUGGGGAGCAAACAGG